CACGUGUGCAAGGACGCCCUGGGUCAAAGUCACAGUACUGGAAUCUGAGCACGCGUCCGUCUGUGGCAAGAGAGAAGCACAGAUGAAGCACAUGCUUUGCUCCUGCACCGCUCCCACGCCUCCGCACUCCAGAACUGAUCCUUGGCAGCCCGAGUUGGUAUGCUGGCUGUAAUGCUGAAAAGUCAGAAGUAAACGCGUUCCCCGGGACCCAGGGCAUGCGCUUCAUCUCAGCGGCUUCUUACAAGGAUUGGGUGCAAGUGCUGCAGCAGAAAGAUGUUUCCAGGAACAUGGGAACCAAGGCUAGGUCUGCAUCUUCUCUGAAAAACUAGCCUGUUGUUUCUCAAACACACAUCAACAUAGCCUGAUAUUUCAGAGAGGAAGGGAAGGUCGGUUACAAACGGUAUCGCCAUGAGCCGCAAACGAAUGGAAGAAAUUCCACGUUAAAAAAAUGUGAAUUUCAUUCCAUAAGAAAAACCUUUAGUACGUAGCUCAGAAAACAGUCAAGAGGCCCAUGAUCAUCUCGGUUCAGGAAAUGCUAGGCUGCUGGAGACAGCCUUUUGUUUAACCUCAUAAACAUCUAACAAACACGGAAGACAUCAACUUGAUUGUUAUUUCUCUCCUUUUAAAUACCAUCACUCCUUUUUUUUUCUUAUUUUGGGGAUAGGGUCUUGCACUCUCUCUCAGGCUGGAGUGCAGUGAUGCAAUCUUGGCUCACUGCAGCCUCAACCUCCUGGGCUCAAGCGAUCCUCCCACCUUAGCCUCCCAAGUAGCUGGGACCAACAGGUGCAUGCCAUCAUGCCCGGCUAAUAGUCUGAAUUUUUUCUUUGGAGAGAUGGGGUCUCACAAUGUUGCCCAGGCUGGUCUUGAACUCCUGGGCUCAAGCAAACCACCUGCCUCGGUCUCCCAAGGUGCUGGGAUGACAGGCCUGAGCCACCACGCCCGGCCACCGCCGCUCCCUUACCCAGGAUGAUGCCGUUGGGCUCCUCCGGAGGUUGCCACACUAUCCGCACGGAG
rnacentral:lncRNA from 1 species